rnacentral:rRNA from 1 species
GGUUAAGCGACUAAGCGUACACGGUGGAUGCCCUGGCAGUCAGAGGCGAUGAAGGACGUGCUAAUCUGCGAUAAGCGUCGGUAAGGUGAUAUGAACCGUUAUAACCGGCGAUUUCCGAAUGGGGAAACCCAGUGUGUUUCGACACACUAUCAUUAACUGAAUCCAUAGGUUAAUGAGGCGAACCGGGGGAACUGAAACAUCUAAGUACCCCGAGGAAAAGAAAUCAACCGAGAUUCCCCCAGUAGCGGCGAGCGAACGGGGAGCAGCCCAGAGCCUGAAUCAGUGUGUGUGUUAGUGGAAGCGUCUGGAAAGGCGCGCGAUACAGGGUGACAGCCCCGUACACAAAAAUGCACAUGCUGUGAGCUCGAUGAGUAGGGCGGGACACGUGGUAUCCUGUCUGAAUAUGGGGGGACCAUCCUCCAAGGCUAAAUACUCCUGACUGACCGAUAGUGAACCAGUACCGUGAGGGAAAGGCGAAAAGAACCCCGGCGAGGGGAGUGAAAAAGAACCUGAAACCGUGUACGUACAAGCAGUGGGAGCACGCUUAGGCGUGUGACUGCGUACCUUUUGUAUAAUGGGUCAGCGACUUAUAUUCUGUAGCAAGGUUAACCGAAUAGGGGAGCCGAAGGGAAACCGAGUCUUAACUGGGCGUUAAGUUGCAGGGUAUAGACCCGAAACCCGGUGAUCUAGCCAUGGGCAGGUUGAAGGUUGGGUAACACUAACUGGAGGACCGAACCGACUAAUGUUGAAAAAUUAGCGGAUGACUUGUGGCUGGGGGUGAAAGGCCAAUCAAACCGGGAGAUAGCUGGUUCUCCCCGAAAGCUAUUUAGGUAGCGCCUCGUGAAUUCAUCUCCGGGGGUAGAGCACUGUUUCGGCAAGGGGGUCAUCCCGACUUACCAACCCGAUGCAAACUGCGAAUACCGGAGAAUGUUAUCACGGGAGACACACGGCGGGUGCUAACGUCCGUCGUGAAGAGGGAAACAACCCAGACCGCCAGCUAAGGUCCCAAAGUCAUGGUUAAGUGGGAAACGAUGUGGGAAGGCCCAGACAGCCAGGAUGUUGGCUUAGAAGCAGCCAUCAUUUAAAGAAAGCGUAAUAGCUCACUGGUCGAGUCGGCCUGCGCGGAAGAUGUAACGGGGCUAAACCAUGCACCGAAGCUGCGGCAGCGACACUAUGUGUUGUUGGGUAGGGGAGCGUUCUGUAAGCCUGUGAAGGUGUGCUGUGAGGCAUGCUGGAGGUAUCAGAAGUGCGAAUGCUGACAUAAGUAACGAUAAAGCGGGUGAAAAGCCCGCUCGCCGGAAGACCAAGGGUUCCUGUCCAACGUUAAUCGGGGCAGGGUGAGUCGACCCCUAAGGCGAGGCCGAAAGGCGUAGUCGAUGGGAAACAGGUUAAUAUUCCUGUACUUGGUGUUACUGCGAAGGGGGGACGGAGAAGGCUAUGUUGGCCGGGCGACGGUUGUCCCGGUUUAAGCGUGUAGGCUGGUUUUCCAGGCAAAUCCGGAAAAUCAAGGCUGAGGCGUGAUGACGAGGCACUACGGUGCUGAAGCAACAAAUGCCCUGCUUCCAGGAAAAGCCUCUAAGCAUCAGGUAACAUCAAAUCGUACCCCAAACCGACACAGGUGGUCAGGUAGAGAAUACCAAGGCGCUUGAGAGAACUCGGGUGAAGGAACUAGGCAAAAUGGUGCCGUAACUUCGGGAGAAGGCACGCUGAUAUGUAGGUGAGGUCCCUCGCGGAUGGAGCUGAAAUCAGUCGAAGAUACCAGCUGGCUGCAACUGUUUAUUAAAAACACAGCACUGUGCAAACACGAAAGUGGACGUAUACGGUGUGACGCCUGCCCGGUGCCGGAAGGUUAAUUGAUGGGGUUAGCCGCAAGGCGAAGCUCUUGAUCGAAGCCCCGGUAAACGGCGGCCGUAACUAUAACGGUCCUAAGGUAGCGAAAUUCCUUGUCGGGUAAGUUCCGACCUGCACGAAUGGCGUAAUGAUGGCCAGGCUGUCUCCACCCGAGACUCAGUGAAAUUGAACUCGCUGUGAAGAUGCAGUGUACCCGCGGCAAGACGGAAAGACCCCGUGAACCUUUACUAUAGCUUGACACUGAACAUUGAGCCUUGAUGUGUAGGAUAGGUGGGAGGCUUUGAAGUGUGGACGCCAGUCUGCAUGGAGCCGACCUUGAAAUACCACCCUUUAAUGUUUGAUGUUCUAACGUUGACCCGUGAUCCGGGUUGCGGACAGUGUCUGGUGGGUAGUUUGACUGGGGCGGUCUCCUCCUAAAGAGUAACGGAGGAGCACGAAGGUUGGCUAAUCCUGGUCGGACAUCAGGAGGUUAGUGCAAUGGCAUAAGCCAGCUUGACUGCGAGCGUGACGGCGCGAGCAGGUGCGAAAGCAGGUCAUAGUGAUCCGGUGGUUCUGAAUGGAAGGGCCAUCGCUCAACGGAUAAAAGGUACUCCGGGGAUAACAGGCUGAUACCGCCCAAGAGUUCAUAUCGACGGCGGUGUUUGGCACCUCGAUGUCGGCUCAUCACAUCCUGGGGCUGAAGUAGGUCCCAAGGGUAUGGCUGUUCGCCAUUUAAAGUGGUACGCGAGCUGGGUUUAGAACGUCGUGAGACAGUUCGGUCCCUAUCUGCCGUGGGCGCUGGAGAACUGAGGGGGGCUGCUCCUAGUACGAGAGGACCGGAGUGGACGCAUCACUGGUGUUCGGGUUGUCAUGCCAAUGGCACUGCCCGGUAGCUAAAUGCGGAAGAGAUAAGUGCUGAAAGCAUCUAAGCACGAAACUUGCCCCGAGAUGAGUUCUCCCUGACCCUUUAAGGGUCCUGAAGGAACGUUGAAGACGACGACGUUGAUAGGCCGGGUGUGUAAGCGCAGCGAUGCGUUGAGCUAACCGGUACUAAUGAACCGUGAGGCUUAACCUU